rnacentral:lncRNA from 1 species
UCCUCUCGGGGGUGCACUCGGUGGUGGCGCGAGACGCUUUUCCGGAACUGCCGCGGCGAGGACUGGCGAGACUUUGAGGCCGGGAAGCGGGAAGAUGCAGGGAGAGUGCGAACAAGUGGGCCCGAUGGAUCCGUUGUCCCACGUGAGGCGCGACGCCACGUGCCGGGCAACGUGAAACGCCCGAAACACGCGCCGCCGGCCCCCGCCCGCCCGACGCCGCGCCACCAGUCCGCUACUCCGACGCCGAGGCCUCUGCCCGUGAUGUCACGGGAGGGUCCCUCCGAAGAGCCUCGCGCUCCGUCGCUCACUGGCUCCGGGAUCCACCGCCUCCGGACAUGGAGGGUAGCGAUGGUUCAGUUGCGCUGGUCAUGGAUUCGCAUGCUCGUGCGCGGGAGAAUGUGCCGCGAAAUUUGCGCGAACACUUUUUAUUGCUGCAUCUGAGACUUCCUACAGAGCUGCGUUCGCAGUAUUUUUCAUAAUUUUUUUAGACAUUGGAAAUUUUGGGAAAACAGAUUUGAAAGUGAAAAAACUUGCUGUCAUGUGAUGUCGUCAAGCGGAAUUCCCUAUUUUAACAGAUGUAUUUAAAUCAAAAGGAACUAUAUCCAUUGGGACAUGAGCCCCGUUUUGCAUGUAUCCUUAUGGAUCCUGAGGCUUAAGUCAGAAUGGAUGUAGUUAGUUUUGAUUUAAGUACGUCUAUAAUACAAGGUGAUUUGCCCAGGGUUGCAGGCGUGGUGCAAUAGGCGUGCGGUAUGUAGCAUUGAAUGAAAAAUCUCGUUUGAUUUUUACAUUAAAAACACACUAAAAUACAAAAAACAAAUGUGUAUACAAGGCUAGAGGAAGCAUAAAACAACCAGGACGUUUCGGGCCAAUUACAUGCCCAUUCUCAACUGGAACAGAAGCUAAAAAAUGUAAAAAUUAAAACGAAAAAAUGAGCAUGCAACUGACCGAGGUAGGAAUCAGUGCAAACUGAAAAACAGAGCAAUUUGAUUUUAUCUUUGGAACGAAAAGCAACGGAUUAUAGCUCCUGCGAAGGAGCCAUCUGGACCAUUCUCGGCCAAAACAUUGCAAAAUUCAGAAAAUAAACGUAGAAUUCUUCUUGGACAAAAACAGUUGCAUUCAAUACAAAGUUUCGAUAAAGUUCGAAAAAGUUCGCAGGUAUGGAGGAGUUAGAAUUUUUGAUUCUUUACUUACGUACUUACGGUAAUAAUACGGCAAAAACUGAACGGUAAGUUUAUCUUACGCCCAAAUUAGGUUUCUACCCGACCUUUCUCCUACAAUGGUAUGGUUUUAUAAAUCUUGGACGCACAUUAAUGAUUGGUAGGUACAUACGUUUGCAGUGUUUGCUUCACGCUCAGCAUUGAUAAAACUAACAAUAAGGUAUUAAAAUUAAAGAACAAUAGAGUGCAUGCAUACUCUUCCAACAGAUGCCAUCAAUCGAGGGUAUUUAUCAUAUGAGGAAUGAAUUUUUUCAUCAUGAUUGCCGAAAUUUCGUCGCUCCUCUGACGUAAGGGCGUAUCUCGAUUACCGCAUGAACCCUAGAAAGCAUGGAUUCGUAUGUGGAGCAGGGCUUACGUGGACAUCGAGAUACGCCCUUACGUCAGAGGAGCGACGAAAUUUCGGCAAUCAUGAUGAAAAAAUUUCAAGUUCUGUUCAAACGGGUCUGCUUUUUUUCGCUACUUUAAAAGUUUCAACCGCACGAAAGGAAAGUUUCAGCGUAUAUUAGCCUAAUAUUAAACCUAGCAGUGGCGUGGCGUGCUUUGCGAUAUAUCGAUUAAUCUUCCAUUUACACCAAUAGCAAGAGAUCGAUAAACAGAUAGUUCGCAACGGUAGCCUUAAUAAUAGAUUCUUUAUCAUAGCUUCAAAUGAGUAAAUAUCAAUAACAGGGUGUCUACAAGAUUUUCAAAAUGAAAUUCCCUGACAAUUCCAGGUUUUCCAUGACAAAAAAUGACAAAAUUCCCUGACUUUUUGGGUUUAGCCUUACGAUGAGCUAGUUAGAAAAUAUUAAAAAAAACUAUCCUUAGGAAUGACCCCAUAAAGUCAUAUUCUGAAUUACCAUGGCGUUGGAAGGAGUUGAGUAAUACUUUUGAAAGGAACGAGAUCCUAAAUACUCAAAAUAAAGCUAAUUCCAAAAUGGUAUACUCAGAGCAAAAUUCACCUUCAAAAUUUAAUUUUUAAGCUCUACUACGCUCUCUUUGUGACAUAGCGCCCCGUAUACUUUUGAAAAUUCAAACUAUAGUUCACCCUGGUGGUUUCAUAAAUAUUGGCAUAUUACUUAGUGCCCUGAAAAUACAAGUCUCUUUUUCUUAAAAUAUAAAACAAGAGUUGUAAAUGUGCCUAACUCAGGCAGAUUUUGCUACAAUCAAGAGGAAAUACGAGUCUCUUCUCGAUUUUAGGUAAAUUUGCUUGAUUCGGAAUUUUUUUUUUAUUUUUUUAAAAAAAUUAAUUUUAAUAGAUAGGUCAAUUAAUUUAAUAGAUUCCAUUCCUUAUAUUAACCUAUUGUUGGUAUUGAAUUUGUCUUAUACUCAACAAGCGUUGGCUUGUUAGAAUAUAAUCCACCAAUAAUAUUUCUACAAGGUGGAUGCACCAGUUGUGAACAUGUUGAUUUAAGAACCAGAAAAAUUUCAUGCAAAAUGCAGUUGACAUUAAAUAUUUCUUUACUCAGUUAAAGAAAAACUAAAAUUCCAGCACUUUCAUUAAAUUUCCUAACUUAUUGAAAAAAUCGAUUAACCAUCAUGGGCGGAACUAGGAAUUUUUUGUGGGGGGGGGGGCACAGAAGGAUAUAUGGCUUGGGCUAAGAGGGGUCUGGGGGGACUCCUCCAGCUGCAGAGGGGGGUCCGGGGGGCCUCCCCCGGAAAAUUUUUGAAAAUUAGAACGCCUUGGGAGCAAUUUAAAGCCAUUCUCAAUGACAAAUUAAAUGGAAAUAAAUAUUACAGAUAAUAGAAAUUUUGCUGACUUGUUUUUAAAAAUAUCAUACCUUACUGUGGGUUUUAAUAGAAUUAUAUCUUAAUUUAACUCUCAUGAAAACAAUUAUUGCGCUAAAAUGCGCGAAAAACCACAACCGAAUACAGUCAAACUGCAUUCCAUGUUCCUUACUCGGAGGAAGCUGCUCUCUUUGCAAGUAAUUUUCAUUUUUCUGACAUCUUUGAUCGAUUACAUUGGGAUUAAGCCCAUGUUUAUUACAUUCCAUAUGCCUUUUACCUCAAAGUUAAUUAGUAGCUUGGGUCCUUGACAUUUUUGGAAGGGGCCGAUCAGCAUUGUGGGGGGGCAGGCCCCCCCCCCCUAUUUCCGCCCAUGUUAACCAUCUGCUCAAAACUGGGGCACUCACCUUAGAAAACCUAAAUAAAAAUGCAAAGUCACUCAAAACACACAUUAGCGAACCUAGCGGCCGUGUUGCAAACUGGUUGAACAAAGCAGUUUACAUUAUCAGCCACGCGAGCGCGCUACUCGGCCAAUUCGGCAAUGACGAGCAAAAAUAGCCGCGUAAUGUUCGAAUUGCGAAAAUUCCCUGACUUUCACCGGUUUUCGAUCGAAUUCCCUGACUUUUCCCGGUUUUCCAGACGGUGAUCAAAUUCCCUGACUAUUCCCGGUUUUCCCGGUUUUCCAGACUUGCAGACACCCUGAAUAAUCGAUCAUUCCCGCCUUGCCACUGUAUUGAACCUAGAUUAACUAUUAGGCGGAAGUAGUCUAGGUUCUGGUAUCGUAUUAUUUACACUCUUGCUGAGGAAACCUCACAGCGUAGUAUAAACUACUAGCCUUUUGAUCAGAGUUCGAUUCCCGGCCAGGCGACCCGAGUUUGAUGGUCUCAGACAAUGGUUGCCUGGGACUGGUUGUUAGGGACGGAAGGGGGAUGGGAUUAAAAGCGCAGGAUUAGCCCUUGUGGGCUACUUGGAGUAGUAAAAAAAAAAUAAAAAUAAAAAAACAAAAGAGGCAUCGUUCCAGCCAAGCUUUAGAGGGACUUUCUUGUCAAGUACAGUUGGAUUUUACUACCUUGAACUGGCUAUCUUGGCACGUGACAAG